rnacentral:ncRNA from 2 species
AACCCUCCCUCCCAUUACAGAUUCGAGAGCAGGAAACGGAAGACGGUGAAAAUCCGUCGCGGACGCGCCGCUGUAACCGGACACAUGCUGCAUGGUCACUGGAUAGUUAUCUGGGAAGGCCAUGGAGCGAAAAAAGCCGGAAGCCAGAAGACGCCCUGUUCUCAGGCCUGACAG